GGACCUGACUGCUAUCGGAUUGAUACUAAGCCAUGCGAGUCAUUGUAGCAAUACAAGGCAUACGGCUCAGUAACGCGUAGUCAACCUAACCUAUGGACGGGAAUAACCUCGGGAAACUGAGAAUAAUGCCCGAUAGAACAUUAUGCCUGGAAUGGUUUAUGUUCCAAAUGAUUUAUCGCCGUAGGAUGGGACUGCGGCCUAUCAGUUUGUUGGUGAGGUAAUGGCCCACCAAGACUAUUACAGGUACGGGCUCUGAGAGGAGUAGCCCGGAGAUGGGUACUGAGACACGGACCCAGGCCCUAUGGGGCGCAGCAGGCGAGAAAACUUUGCAAUGUGCGAAAGCACGACAAGGUUAAUCCGAGUGGUUUCUGCUAAAGAAACCUUUUGUCAGUCCUAGAAACUAUUGUAGGGUAAGGGGUGGGCAAGUUCUGGUGU
rnacentral:rRNA from 1 species